rnacentral:lncRNA from 1 species
CUGCCCUCGAGGAGCUUACGUUUCAACGGGGAGGCAGCACGCACGCUACAUUCCUUUCAAAGUUCCCAUCAUAAAGUAUGACACAAGAGACCUCUUUCCCAGCUUGGUGGGAAACAAACCCUUGGUCAUCACUCUUCGAAAAAGCAGGACUGAGAAGCGUCAGAGCUAGUGGCACAGCAGCCACCAGCUCUGGGAGGACAGCUCCUUCCUGGAGUCCACACGGACUGUGCUUAGGAUGUCCAGCGGAGAUGGAAGGUGAGGCUGCUCUUCUCCCCCACUAGGGAAGGGAUAGGAUGGCCUAGUGCCAAGGGGAGGAAAAAGCUACUUAGGAAUUCCCUGAAGAUUAUUAGCUGCUCAACAGUGAAGUGC